rnacentral:rRNA from 1 species
ACACUCCUGCGGGAGGCAGCAGUGGGGAAUAUUGGACAAUGGGCGCAAGCCUGAUCCAGCCAUGCCGCGUGAGUGAUGAAGGCCCUAGGGUUGUAAAGCUCUUUCACCGGUGAAGAUAAUGACGGUAACCGGAGAAGAAGCCCCGGCUAACUUCGUGCCAGCAGCCGCGGUAAUACGAAGGGGGCUAGCGUUGUUCGGAUUUACUGGGCGUAAAGCGCACGUAGGCGGACUAUUAAGUCAGGGGUGAAAUCCCGGGGCUCAACCCCGGAACUGCCUUUGAUACUGGUAGUCUUGAGUUCGAGAGAGGUGUGUGGAAUUCCGAGUGUAGAGGUGAAAUUCGUAGAUAUUCGGAGGAACACCAGUGGCGAAGGCGGCUCACUGGCUCGAUACUGACGCUGAGGUGCGAAAGCGUGGGGAGCAAACAGGAUUAGAUACCGCUGUAGUCCCAUGA